ACUCCUACGGGAGGCAGCAGUGGGGAAUAUUGCACAAUGGGCGCAAGCCUGAUGCAGCAACGCCGCGUGAGCGAUGAAGGCCUUCGGGUCGUAAAGCUCUGUCCUCAAGGAAGAAUUUUGACGGUACUUGAGGAGGAAGCCCCGGCUAACUACGUGCCAGCAGCCGCGGUAAU
rnacentral:rRNA from 1 species